rnacentral:lncRNA from 1 species
UUUUUUUUUUUGUUUUAUCCUUUCUGGAAUUUGCAGUCUUAUUACAAUCACUGUUGCGAUUGUUAGUUCCUUAAUUUGCAGUGUUUUUUGGUGCAAAUUUUGAGGGAUUUCGCCACACCAUUCUUACAAGCUUCAGUCUUUCACCAGAUGAACAAGUAAGAAGAUGAACUUUCUCAUGCCAACCCAUACUCAUAAACAUCUCCACGACUAUUUUUAUGGCUCUUAGCUCGGCCUUUCCCAAUCUCGUAGCCUCAAUCGGCCUAGAGAACAUAGC